rnacentral:rRNA from 1 species
UGGGGAAUUUUGGACAAUGGGGGAAACCCUGAUCCAGCCAUCCCGCGUGUGCGAUGAAGGCCUUCGGGUUGUAAAGCACUUUUGGCAGGAAAGAAACGUCGCGGGUUAAUACCCCGCGAAACUGACGGUACCUGCAGAAUAAGCACCGGCUAACUACGUGCCAGCAGCCGCGGUAAUACGUAGGGUGCAAGCGUUAAUCGGAAUUACUGGGCGUAAAGCGUGCGCAGGCGGUUCGGAAAGAAAGAUGUGAAAUCCCAGAGCUUAACUUUGGAACUGCAUUUUUAACUACCGGGCUAGAGUGUGUCAGAGGGAGGUGGAAUUCCGCGUGUAGCAGUGAAAUGCGUAGAUAUGCGGAGGAACACCGAUGGCGAAGGCAGCCUCCUGGGAUAACACUGACGCUCAUGCACGAAAGCGUGGGGAGCAAACAGGAUUAGAUACCCUGGUAGUCCACGCCCUAAACGAUGUCAACUAGCUGUUGGGGGCCUUCGGGCCUUGGUAGCGCAGCUAACGCGCGAAGUUGACCGCCUGGGGAGUACGGUCGCAAGAUUAAAACUUAAAUGAAUUG